UGGCUGGGCCGGUGCAGUGCGCCGUCCGGACAACGGGUCAGGACCGGAAGGUAGCAGCUCACCCGCGUCGUCCCACGUGCAUCGUUCACCUGGUCGCC
rnacentral:SRP_RNA from 1 species